AGUAAGAGUAAAGCAGGUAGCGGACAGGAUCAGGUAAGACGAACAGCCAGCCAUAUUGGAAAGAGCCAAGCGUAGGUGACUUAUGCAGGUGAUUGAGUGGACCUCAAAUCCUAGGCUCUUGGAUUUCUUCAACCAGAAAAAAGCUUUAGAAGACCGAAAAUGCCGAAACCGUAUCCUUGCUACAGAAGGGCAACCAGAACUGGACACAUUACUCCAGAAGAGACUCCCCAGCGUCAUGUACAACCUCAAUAUAGCAUCUGAACUCCGCACACAAUGGCUUGAGCAAUGAAGGCUAGCAUGCUAAAUGCCGCCUUGACCACCCUGUCUAUCUGUGACACAAAUUUCAAAGAACUGAGUUUGUGAACUCUGAGGUUUCUGCUCUGCAAUGCUCUCCAAGGCCCUUCCAUUAACUGUAAGUCCUCCCCUUGUUUGUUUUUUGUACCAAAAUACCUUGCAUUCCAUCUGCUGCCACUCACCCCAUUGAGCCAAUUGAUCUCUUUGUAAACUUGGAUAAGCUUCUUUUACCAUCCAC